rnacentral:rRNA from 1 species
GCUAACGGCCAUACCACGUUGAAAGCACGACAUCCCGUGCGAUCUACCAAGUUAAGUAGCGUUGGGCCUGGCUAGUACUUGGAUCAGAGAUGGCUUGGGAACCCCAGGUGCUGUAGGCA